rnacentral:rRNA from 1 species
AUACGGGGGGAGCAAGCGUUGUCCGGAUUUAUUGGGCGUAAAGGGCGCGUAGGUGGAUUGGUAAGUGAGAGGUGAAAGCCCGGGGCUUAACUCCGGAAUUGCCCUUCAUACUGCCAGUCUAGAGUUCGGGAGAGGGAGAUGGAAUUCCUGGUGUAGCGGUGGAAUGCGUAGAUAUCAGGAGGAACACCGGUGGCGAAGGCGGUCUCCUGGCCCGAUACUGACGCUGAGGCGCGAAAGCGUGGGGAGCGAACAGGAUUAGAAACCCCGGUAGUCC